GUGGGGAAUCUUGCGCAAUGGGCGAAAGCCUGACGCAGCCAUGCCGCGUGAAUGAUGAAGGUCUUAGGAUUGUAAAAUUCUUUCACCGGGGACGAUAAUGACGGUACCCGGAGAAGAAGCUCCGGCUAACUUCGUGCCAGCAGCCGCGGUAAUACGAAGGGGGCUAGCGUUGCUCGGAAUUACUGGGCGUAAAGGGCGCGUAGGCGGAUAGCUUAGUCAGAGGUGAAAGCCCAGGGCUCAACCUUGGAAUUGCCUUUGAUACUGGCUGUCUUGAGUUUGGGAGAGGUGAGUGGAACUCCGAGUGUAGAGGUGAAAUUCGUAGAUAUUCGGAAGAACACCAGUGGCGAAGGCGACUCACUGGCCCAAUACUGACGCUGAGGCGCGAAAGCGUGGGGAGCAAACAGGAUUAGAUACCCUGGUAGUCC
rnacentral:rRNA from 1 species